rnacentral:lncRNA from 1 species
CGGGGGGGAGGGGCGGCGAGGCGAGGCCUGCGGAGCGGAGGAAGACAAACAUAAAGAUGAAGUGCUUAAUUCAAGGUCACACAAUGUCGGGGAUGGACCUCCAGAUUUCCUUACUGACCUGCAUUAUCUUGUGGAUACCUGAGUGAAUUCCACACCACCCAUUUUAUAGAUGAAACCACUGAGACAUGGAGCAAUUGACUGAGUAGUCACUGCCCCACCCCUGCCUGGAGCCUCACACAUGACUCGCCUCCUCUCAGUGACCACAGAUGGAGUCUUGCUGUGUCACCAGGAUGGAGUGCAGUGGCGCAAUCUCGGCUCACUGCAACCUCUGCUUCCCGGGUUCAAGUGAUUCUCCUGCCUCAGCAACCCGAGUAGCUGGCACUACAGGAAAACAAGCUCAGGGCUCCCACUGAUUGUACAUUAUGGUGAGACGUGGUCUUGUAACACAGUGGUUAAGAAUGUGACUUUGGAGCCAGCCUGCUAGGGGCUGAAUUCUGACUCAGCCAUUUACUAACUGUGUGACCUUAGGGAGGAGGACCUGGUUGAUAGAAGAAUUUAUCUCGUAGUCUUAACAUCCACUGUAAUUCCAAACUUUGAGGACGAUAGAGAUCAGUGGGCUUUGACUGCCCAGCAUGCAGUCUCCAUUCUUAGGUCACAGAAUUUUCCACACUCCUUGACAGAGGUGCUUAACCCUUAUCCAUCAGCAUUCUCAGACAGCACCUCCGGUUAGGGACAGUAUCUGACCGUCCGACAUCCCUGCAGCCCCCAUGUGUCACACAGACUCAGCCUCAGGUAGAUGGUUUCCGUAGAUGGUGGCUUUCUUUGGACCCUUGACAUCAACCAGUUACUAUUUGACUCUUCUGCAGAACCCCAUGUUGACCCCUGCUUUGAGGUGGCAGAGUUAACACUACUCUUCGUUAUAAGCUCUCGUCUGGGGCAACUCAGAAGAACCCAGAGACAGACUCCCAGACUCGGCCAGAGGCUGAUGCCAACUCCUUCCAGCUCUCACGGUAACCAUGAGGCCCCUGCGUGUUUCUGUUGUGGAGGUCCCAGAGGGAACUGUAUGGACAGACACAGCCCGAAGGGCCAUCUGCCUCAAGCCACAGCAGCACAGAAUUCUAAAGAUUGUGGGGAAGGAUGGGGCCAAGGGGACCAGAUGUGCAGAGGUAAUGAAUACCAGGGAAUCAGGAAACCACUGGAUCAGUUCUUUGAGCCACAGAACAACACUCAUCCCAGCAGCUGGGAAGCUAUCUGCAAAAGUCCAUCUGCAGAAAGGGCUUCCUGGUCUUGCGUGUGGCUGGGCCAUUUCUCUGGAUGCAGGUUUUUCAUUAUACAGUCUUCUCAAAGAACCACCUGCUCUCAACACCUUCUCGGUGACUCCAUUUCCCCUCCUCUGGGCUCCUGGAAUGCCACAAUGGCCCCACCUUAGCCAGGCAGCUGUGAUGAGAGGUGUUGACCCAACUGCCUCUCUGCUGGCUCACUGAAUCAGGUGGAAGGGGCUGGGGACAGCACAGUCUUGCAUUGUGGUUGGGGACCUGGGCCAUCCAGAGGCAGGACUGUCCAAAGGCAGGGUACUGCUGGGAUUCCGCCAGGCACUGGGUGAUGCAUGGCAUAGGGAGCUGAAGAGGGACAGGCUCUUGGCCAGGAAAAACAGCCCCAGAGCCACAGGUGUGCCAUCGAGUCUUCCUCCUCUCCCAUCCUUAAUCACUCCUGUUUGGUGACAGCACACAGCUAGGCCUGGAGCCCAGCAAAGAGCCCCUGGGUCCCAGAGGAAGUUGUUCUGGGGGCUGGAGACAAUCACAAAUGCCAGGUUUGUGAGCCCCAGACUCUGGUUCAUAGCAAGAGGCAGACUUGUGAACAAACCACCAGAUCACACCGUAAAACACGCUCAACGAGGAGUGGGUGCCCUUUCUAGGGACAGGCAGAAGGCUCCAUGGAGUGACCUUUGAAUGGGGACAUAAAAGUGGAUCCCUUCAACAGCCCCUGCACAGCCCCAAGUCAGGCCUCCAGCCCUUGGACUCACAGAUGUCCUCUGUAGACGACUGGAUGUCCUCCCGUGCUACCCUUUACCCCUGCAGCGAGGGGCACAGAGCCAGAGCCCUCCAGGUCCUCACCACUGGCAUCACCAACAUAGUGGACAUUUUCCCUCUCAGAAUGAAAAGGGAGUGAAAUUUCCCGUGAUCUUUCCACAAAUGACCAGCUUGGGGAGUGGGAGAGGAAGUGCUGCAGUGCCUGGGGAAGGGGCCCUGGAACAGUUCCUGGAAAUGGAGAGGGGUGGAUAGGGUGGAGACAAUGCUCAUGGAGUGCAGUAUGGGGCCUACCCAGAGUUGCUUGGCCACCCCUCUGCCUCUGAAUCAGGGGUGAUCAAUGAAGGAAAAUUACUGCAAAAAAAAAAA